UACGUAGGGUGCAAGCGUUGUCCGGAAUUAUUGGGACGUAAGAGCUCGUAGGCGGUUCGUCGCGUCGGCUGUGAAAUCCCGAGGCUCAACCUCGGGUCUGCAGUCGAUACGGGCGGACUGGAGUUCGGCAGGGGAGACUGGAAUUCCUGGUGUAGCGGUGAAAUGCGCAGAUAUCAGGAGGAACACCGGUGGCGAAGGCGG
rnacentral:rRNA from 1 species